rnacentral:rRNA from 1 species
UACGAAGGGGGCUAGCGUUGCUCGGAAUUACUGGGCGUAAAGCGCCCGUCGGCGGUCUUUUAAGUCGGGGGUGAAAUCCUGGAGCUCAACUCCAGAACUGCCUUCGAUACUGGAAGACUUGAGUCCGGGAGAGGUGAGUGGAACUGCGAGUGUAGAGGUGAAAUUCGUAGAUAUUCGCAAGAACACCAGUGGCGAAGGCGGCUCACUGGCCCGGUACUGACGCUGAGGUGCGAAAGCGUGGGGAGCAAACAGG